UUCCACAAUGGACGAAAGUCUGAUGGAGCAACGCCGCGUGAGUGAAGAAGGGUUUCGGCUCGUAAAACUCUGUUGUUAAAGAAGAACAUAUCUGAGAGUAACUGUUCAGGUAUUGACGGUAUUUAACCAGAAAGCCACGGCUAACUACGUGCCAGCAGCCGCGGUAAUACGUAGGUGGCAAGCGUUGUCCGGAUUUAUUGGGCGUAAAGCGAGCGCAGGCGGUUUUUUAAGUCUGAUGUGAAAGCCUUCGGCUCAACCGAAGAAGUGCAUCGGAAAC
rnacentral:rRNA from 1 species